GUGCUCACCACUAAGGGGUUGGGAGUGUGCACGUAAAGAAAGAAUAAGUUGGCAGUGAGAAAUAUAGGGGAGAAAAGGGCAGUGGCAGAGUUGGGUGAGGCAUAUCAUUGGCACUUGGGGCUGCCUAAAGCCUGGUAUAGGGAUCCUUGAAUAUAUUUGUGGGUGGUCCUCUUGCCAGAAUCCUGGGGUAGACAGCAGAAAAUACAUCCUUUCAGUUCUCUGCUUUCUUAUUUUAAUAUUAUUAGUAGUUGAUUUACAAUGUUGUAUUUCAGCAGUGAUUCAGUUAUACCUAAAAUAUACGCUCAUUCUUUUUCAGAUUUUUCACAUUGGUUAUCACAGAAUAUUGAGUAGAAUCCCCUGUGCCAUACAUGUCUUUGCUUACCUCUCCAAUAUUGGGGUAGCAGUUUGCCCUCUAUUCUCCAGUCUCUCAUGAAUCCAAGAAGAGUUACUGAUUUUUCAAUCUGUUCAACUUUUGCUGUCAGGAUGGAGUGGCGACUUUCUUUAAAUGUAGAACCAGAAACAAAGUCUUGGAUGCGCACAUGGAACUUUCGCCAAGAUAUAUCCCAUGCUAGCUUUUACUACAGUCCCAAGGUUUGAAAUCAUAGAGUAUGUUCUUUGACUAUAACAGAAUUAUAAAUUAAAAAUAAUAUAUACCCCAAGUACUUGGAAAUUAAAAAUUUCUUAUAAAUUUAAUCACUAAAAGACAUAGAAAGCUUAGAUUACAUAAGUCACUUAUAAAGCUAGCAUACAGGUUAAAGACUAAAGUAGUAAAAAAAAAAAAAAGUGAUAUACAAUAUAAAAAGUUAAAUGUGAUAUCAAAAACUGAAAUGUAACUGGGGGAAAGUAAAAAUGUAAUUUUAGAAUGUGUUCAAACUUAAGUUGUUAGCAAUGACAAAGACUUGUUAUACGUAAACUUCAUGGUAACCACACAGGAAAACAUAUAAUAGAUAUACAAAGGAUAAAUAAAUCUAAGCACACCACAAAAGAAAACCAUCAAAUCACACAGGAAGAGAAAGGAACAGAAGAACUGCAAUACAGCCUGAAAACAAUGCACAAAUGGCCAAUGAGUAUAUACCUACCAGUAUGCAGAGCAGCUGAAUGGAUAAAAACCAAUCCAAGACCAAGCUAUAUGCUGCCUACAAGUAAUGCACUUAAGAUAAUCAGACACACACUGACUGGAAGUGAAAGUGAAAGGACUGAAAAGAUUCCUUGUAAAUAGAAAUCAAAUGAAAGUUGUUUUGGCUAUAUUUACAUGAGACAAACAGGCUAUAAUAAAUGACAAGGACAUUACAUAAAGGGGUUAAUCCAACAAAAGGAUAUAAUAUUUGUAAGCAUUUAUAAACCCAACAUAGAAGCACUUAAAUAUAUAAAGCAAAUAUUAAGACUUAACAGAAAUAGAUAGCAAUACAGUAAUAGUAGGAUACUUCAGUGUCCCAUUUUCAUCAAUAAAUACAUCAUUCAGAGAAAAAUCAAUUAAAAAACCCCACCAUUGUCUUUAAAUGACAUGUUAAACCAGAUGAACUUAGACGUAUACAGACUAUUUCAUCUAAAAGAAACAAAAUAUACAUUGUUCUCAAGUGCACAGGAACAUUCUCCAAGACAGAUUUUAGGCCACAAAUCAAGUCUUAAUAAAUUUGAGAAGAAUGAAAUCAUAUCAAGGUUGUUUUUUUUUUGAGUACAUGGCAUGAAACUAAAAAUCAAUUACAUAACAAACCUGGAAAAUUUGCAAAUAUGUAGAUUAAACAACAUGCUACUGGACAAUCAAAGGAUCAAAGAAGAAAUCAAGAGAAAUAAAGGAUAAAAAAAGGAUACUUUAAAGCAAACAAAAAUGCAAAUAUAACACCAAAACUUAAUGGAAUACAGUUAUUAGAAGGAAGUUCAUAGUGAGAAGUGCCUAGAAAGGAACUAGAAAAAGAUGAAUAAAGAACACUCUUAAUUAGUAGAUGGAAGGAAAUGGAUUUAAAAGACAACAGAGAAGAUCAAGAGCUGGAUCUCUGAAAAGUAAACAAAAUUGACAAACCUUUAUCUAAACUCAUCAAGAAAAAGGAAGGACUCAAAAUGAGAUGUUAGAGAUGUUACAAGUGAUACCACAAAAAUACAAAGGAUCAUG
ensembl:lncRNA